AUUGAACGCUGGCGGCAGGCCUAACACAUGCAAGUCGAGCGGAUGAAGGGGGCUUGCUCCUGGAUUCAGCGGCGGACGGGUGAGUAAUGCCUAGGAAUCUGCCUGGUAGUGGAGGAUAACGUCCGGACACGGGCGCUAAUACCGCAUACGUCCUGAGGGGGAAAGUGGUGGAUCUUCGGACCUCACGCUAUCAGAUGAGCCUAGGUCGGAUUAGCUAGUUGGUGGGGUAAAGGCCUACCAAGGCGACGAUCCGUAACUGGUCUGAGAGGAGGAUCAGGAACCCUGGAACUGAGACACGGUCCAGACUCCUACGGGAGGCAGCAGUGGGGAAUUUUGGACAAUGGGCGAAAGCCUGAUCCAGCCCUGCCGCGUGUGUGAAGAAGGUCUUCGGAUUUUAAAGCACUUUAAGUUGGGAGGAAGGGCAGUAAGUUAAUACCUUGCUGUUUUGACGUUACCAACAGAAUAAGCACCGGCUAACUUCGUG
rnacentral:rRNA from 1 species